CAUUUUCCUGAUUGAUUGACUGAGAAGGGUAUUCUGCCCUAUUGGUCUUCGGGAUUAUGGUCAAAGCAGAGUAGAUGAAGACCCAAUAGCCAUUUUCCUGAUUGAUUGACUGAGAAGGGUAUUCCGCCCUAUUGGUCUUUGGGAUUAUGGUCGCAGCAGACGAAGGCUCACCACAGUGACAGAAAGUUUCACCGAAGUAGAUCCAGAAAUCACACUCCCGAGAGUCCAUUAAGGGCACACCGCCCUGUGGGCACUUGUCUUCGGGGAAAUCCAUCUAAGGUUGCAGCUCCAGAUGGAAAGCAGCUGAGGAGUCCGACAAAGCCGUUGCAGUUCUUCAGCAGAAGCAGAGUUCGUGGAUAUUGCAUGCAGAUGGAUAUUCUAUUUCGGACAUCAGUAUAGCAGGCUAUCAAGGAGUCGAUCACAAUAACAAUUCCACCGCCGGUGCAUUAUCGAAGCUGGCCACUACAGAUGCUUAUAACUUUGACGACAGAUGGCGUCAUUUCUUCGGAUCAGAUGCUGGCAAAGAA
rnacentral:lncRNA from 1 species